rnacentral:rRNA from 1 species
UACGUAGGGUGCGAGCGUUAAUCGGAAUUACUGGGCGUAAAGCGUGCGCAGGCGGCGCGUUAAGACAGGUGUGAAAAGCCCCCGAGCUUAACUUGGGAAUUGCGCUUUGUGACUGGCGUGCUGGAGUGUGGCAGAGGGAGGUGGAAUUCCACGUGUAGCAGUGAAAUGCGUAGAGAUGUGGAGGAACACCGAUGGCGAAGGCAGCCUCCUGGGCCAGCACUGACGCUCAUGCACGAAAGCGUGGGGAGCAAACAGG